GAAACGCGAUAGGUAAUGUGAAUUGCAGAAUUCCGUGAAUCAUCGAAUCUUUGAACGCACAUUGCGCCUUCUGGUAUUCCGGUAGGCAUGCCUGUUUGAGCGUCAGCAAAACACCCUCAGCCCCCGGUUUUGUUAUCGGGUGGAUGGUCUUGGGCAGCGGAUGCCGGCGGUGAUUUAUUUCCGCCUGCGCCCUCCCUAAACUUGCUGCACGACCGCAAGCCCCUUCUAGCCAGGUCAAUGGAGUGGUGUUACAAUCUUCCAAAAAGCCUGCUGGUGACUGCUUCGCGGCGUUAAACGUGAUGUCUUCCCUUGUGGGAGACUGAAGUUUUGACCUCAGAUCAGACAAGGAUACCCGCUGAACUUAA
rnacentral:misc_RNA from 1 species